UACAGAGGUCCCGAGCGUUGUUCGGAUUCAUUGGGCGUAAAGGGUGCGUAGGCGGUAGAGUAAGUCUGAUGUGAAAUCCCGGGGCUCAACCCCGGAACUGCAUUGGAUACUGCUUUGCUUGAGUACUGGAGAGGGAACUGGAAUUUACGGUGUAGCAGUGAAAUGCGUAGAGAUCGUAAGGAAGGCCAGUGGCGAAGGCGAGUUCCUGGACAGUUACUGACGCUGAGGCACGAAGGCCAGGGGAGCAAACGGG
rnacentral:rRNA from 1 species